rfam:Gossypium hirsutum cultivar TM-1 chromosome 15, whole genome shotgun sequence
UUGAGCCGCAUGCGGGGGAACUCGCACGUGCGGUUCUUAGGGGGGGCUAGUAGGAGCCAUCCUAUCCCAAU